GACAGAGGUGCCAAGCGUUAGGCGGAAUCACUGGGCUUAAAGCGUGUGUAGGCGGAUGCCUAAGUACCUUGUGAAAUCCCACGGCUCAACCGUGGAACUGCUUGGUAUACUGGGUGUCUUGAGCCAUCUAGGGGCUACCGGAACAAAUGGUGGAGCGGUGAAAUGCGUAGAUAUCAUUUGGAACGCCAAUGGUGAAAACAGGUAGCUGGGGAUGUGCUGACGCUGAGACGCGAAAGCGUGGGGAGCAAACAGG
rnacentral:rRNA from 1 species